CUCCGUUCACCAAAAACAAUUGAUGGGCAUGAAAUUGUUUCAAACCUCCGGCAAGUCUCCGGUUGCUUUAUAUGUAAACGGCGUUGGAUAAUGGGAGUCAUAGUAAUCUCAACGGGUCCAUCGGCGUUGGAAUUAUACUUCUGUUUGAUCCAUCUCUGGGAAGCCAGAACCGGUUCGAAAGGGGGAGCUCUUAUUGGUUUAGAGCUGCUCAUCAUCGAUGAACAGGUCUGAGUGUUUUCCUCCACAAUUUCAUUUUCAAUUGAUAAAGUUACAGUAAAAAUUAUCAUAGUUAUGCAGAUUACUUGACAAAAUCGUAUACCUUCUCAAGUAUAAUUUCAGGUCACUCUGAUCCAAGCGUUCAUCCAUCACAUCGUACUCCACGGUACGAGCUUUAUAAUUUUUUCUACUCAACGAAAAGCAAAGAGCUAUGCAGCAACAGUGUUCUACAAAUUCACGGCCAGUGUCGACAACUCCCGUCAUCCUUUUAGUGGCGACUGUGAAUCCAAAUCGUAUCGGUGCUCAAUGUCAUCAUCAGUGUUUUCAUCGACAAAGACUUCAACCCACAAUCGACUACUCCAAUUGUUGAAUUCUAACCCAGAGAUUGCUAAGAAAGUGAAUGCAUAGGAGGAGCUGACUAAAGCUGGGUCAGUGACAAUUGGAAAAAAUAUUUGCUUAUAUCAAGCAAGGAUCAGCCAAGUGAUUGCAAAACAGAGGCCAACAGAAGACCCUUCUUCGUUUGCGCUCUAAAUGAAGCAAUGAAAACGUAACCAGGUCAAAAAGUAAUGAACUUAAUGCUCAGUAUUCAAUAAAUCGUUGGCUUGGAUUGCUAUUUCUUUUCUUUUAUGCACUGGUAUCUUGAUAAGAUCCCUGUCUACGACAAUAACGACCAGGCUGUGUUCGUUUUACUUGGUGAUGCAGGCCGUGAGCUAACUGGAAAGCAUGCCUCCGGAUUGGUUGAUAAAUACUUUGAGGCUAAUGGUGAUCUUGGUCCUGACCAUGAGAUGCCUGCCUGUCCCACAAACUUUGAUCGACACCAUUGGUCAAACACAUAGGUUCAAGGUUGAAGUUUUUGAUUACAAAGGAAGGACUCAGGCUAUAGCAGUUAUGAAGGUUGUCUCUCCAGCAGUCCUGCAACCUUUAACAGCCCCAGUUGGAAUCCCACUUGCCACCACUUUUAAAGUGCCUCUAUUUUCUGCAAGUUGAUUAGGGUCCGUCCUUCAAAGACUGGAGACCUAGCUGAUGAAGAAAACGCCAGUACAAGUACAGUGACGAAGCACAUAGAGGAAAAUGUGCUAAACUUGAGUAAUAGAGCAUUAACUGCUAUCUUUUCAUUUUUUAUAUAUCUAAGUAUGGAUUUACAUAUUACAUAUUUGCAAGCAGAUGACUUAUUUGGUAUUUCUUAAUGUUACAACUUCGUAUUAUCUGAUGAAUGUAUGCUAUCAAAAGACUAUUAUUUCUCUGUGUAUUUAAAUUAUUUCACAAAGUUCUCCUCUAUGGUUACUUAAAAGUCUCCCUUACUACAAGCUAGCAAUAGUUGCGCCAUUCAAUAUAAAAGGACCAUUAUUUAUCUGUGUAUUUUAUAUGAUCUAUUAAUUUAUUAAAAAUGUAUAUUUAUAUAAUUAUAAACAGGUUCGACAUACAUUUUAAAUUGGUUUAUAAAAUUUUAAAAAUUCUAAUAAAUGAUUUUAUAAACCUUUGUAAAAUAUAUAUAGACUCUUAUAACUAAUAGACUCUUAGAAAAUAAUCUUAUAAACACUUCUAGCUAUGGAUGAGCGUUUGGAUACCCGUUCGGGUUCGGAUCAGAUAUUUUGGAUUUUCGGAUAUAGAACCCGUUCGAGUAUUUUUAUAUUUCGGGUCGGGUUUGGAUAAUUUUAGUUUGGAUUCGGUUAUUUCAGGUCGGGUUCGAAUAUUUAGAUUUUGAAGAAAAACUAAAUUCUUUAUUGCUUAAGUUUCUUAAAUUUAAAAAUAUAUUUUUAACUUAACUGAUUUUUAUUUUAAUAGAUAGAAUGAUUUAGAUUUGGAGAUAAAACUAUAUGUAUAUUAAAAUACACUAAUUUAGUUAUCGUUUUGAAAUUUUAGAUGCAAUGUUUGUUAUUGGAUGAAACAAGAAGCUUGACAUGCAUUUAAAGUGAGUAGCAAAUUAUUUUGUCUGUAAUUUUAUGUAUGUUAUAUAUCUUAAACUAUGUGUAGCAUUAAUAUAAAUAUUUUUACACAAAAUGUAUAUAUUAGAAAUAUAGUGUCAAGUAUACAUAUGUUUGGUAAUUUCGGAUAUCCACUUAGGUUUGGAUACUCCUAAUUCAAUACCAGUUUCGGUAUUUUGUUACUUCGGUUCAGAUUUCUAUUUGGGGUUUUUGGGUCAGGUUCGGAUAUGGGUUUGGAUAUCGGGUAAAAUACUCAACCCAACUUUGAGCUUUGCUAUUUCUCUGUAUUAUUGUCAAUCUGUUUUCAAAUAGUUGAUAACUAAUCUCAAAAGAUUAUAUAUUACUGCCAAAACAGUGAUUAGUGGAAGAGUAUAUAUCUAAAGUAUCCAAAAAAAUGAGAAAUUGCUUAAACAAUCAGACUCUAAAUAUCACUUUUCAUGUUUGAUUUAACUAUAUUUACUUUUAUUUUUAAAGAGGUAAAUAAGCACUUAUAUUCUUAGGGUUGACUAAUAUAGACUGAGAGAUUAUAUUUGAGGGGUAAGAUUUUGGAGUGCAUAAUUUAGGAUUUUUAAAAAUAAAUAAAAUUUUAAAAAUAGUUUCAAAAAGACUUUUUAAAUUGUAACAUAAAAUUUUGGAAAAAAUCAAAAGUUUUAUAAAGAUUUCGAAUUUAAAAACGUAUAAUUCGAAAGCUAUAUAAUUUUUCAAUUAUUUCUUUAAAUAAUUAUUUAUAUGUAUAUAACUAUAAAGUAAGGAUAUAAUAGUAUUUUGGAUUUUAAUUGAAACUUUAUACUUUACGUAUUUGCGAAAAAUAUCUAUUUAAUAAAAGUAAAAAUAAAUAAUAGUUUUCUAAAAAAAACAUAAAUAAUAGUACCAUAAUGAGAUAAAACAGAAUUCUCCAAAAAACAUAGGACCGCUUCUUUAUUUUUUAUUUCAUUCUUUAAUUGAGGAUAUUAUUCAUUGCCUAACAAAAAUUAAGUAAAUUAUCCGCGCGUAGCGCGGAGAAACACUCUAGUAUCUAUAAAAAUAAAUUAAGAACUAACAUUUUUGUACGAUGCACCACACUCAUAUGUCUUAACAAACAUCGUAUUUACAGUUAAUUUUUUUUGUAUAUUGUCGUCUAGGAGCUCGCUUAGUAGGAUAUUUUAUUCUGGCGAUGUUGGUUUUGGUCUUCCAUUAGUAGCUUUACACAAUUUAAAAUAAUUAUUGUUCUAAGCAUGUUUAAACGCACGACAUAAUAUGUCUUUAAUAUAUUAAUUUGGUGCACCGUUCGUUGCCAUUAAGUUAGUACUUAUUAGUAGAUUAAAUUAGUUUGUGGCAAACGUGAAAGUUUAAUUUGGUGAUUAAUUAGCUGUUAAAGAGAAGUCAUGACUUCAAAAAUAAAUAAUCAAAUAUUAUCUUUGUUUUAUAAAGUGUGUCAUUUUAAUAUUUCUAAGACAAACUAUUUCAUAACUGAAAUAAAUUUAUGUUUUAAUAAUUACACCUAUUUAAUUAAUAGCGUUUGAUAUAAAUAAAUUAUUUAUAAAUGAAUAUAUUUUGUAAUUAAUAUUAAACUAAUUUAUGUAUAACAUUAAAACUCAUUCUAAAAGUGGUAUUUUGUUUAGUAAGAAAAAAAUGUCAAAUAAAAGUGGAUUUUUUGUUUCAAAAAAAAAUGUCAAAUGAAAUAGAGAGAGGACUACUUUAUUCUUUCAGAAGUUCCUACAGAUAUUGGAUUUGAAUUCAAAUUGUGAUUUGGGUAUUUGUGAUAAGCAUGAGGUGUUUGGAAAUGUCUAAAUCAACCAUUCAAAUGGGUUUUUACUUAAGGCGGAAGCUGUUAAAGUCUUAAAUUCGGGCAUUAGUUAUCGUCAUUAUUCCGAGAAUGGUGAUGUUUACAGGUUUCCAUUCACCAUAUUGAUGGAGUAUUGCAAUCUUUUCCUAUCGAAAUUUCAUACACCGAUGCUUUAAUUUGCAUUAUUGAUAGCACAUGUGAGACCGCUGGAUUCUUGUUCCAAACAAAAGUUUAUUUAAAGGAAGCGAGAACAUCGAUGUCUAAGCAGGGUAUGAAAAUGCCUCAACUUUAUGGUUCAAUGUUCAUCUAAAGAAACAAUGAAGUGAAUCUUCUACCACAUUCAAAAAAUUGUGACAUUUUAUUCUAAAUGAACUUCACCAAAGCUAAACUGAAGUAUAAACGUUGAGAUCACGUGAAGCAUAUGCUAAAUCCGAAUAGAAAAAAUGAUAAAAAUCUGGAUUCAGAUAUGGAUCAUACAUAUACCAUAUAUAUUAAUGAAUAUAUACAUUUACAUUUUAACAUUUUUACCAAAAAUAUAUAUAUAUAUAUACAUGUACAAGUCAGUCGUGUACGGUAUGGUCCGUAUGGAUGAAAUAAUUUUAAAGAUUGGGGACCUUAAAGAUUGUGCACAUGGAUGCAUGCAUGGCAUUAUGAUUUGCUCAUCUCUUCCGUCCACGAAUCGACAUAUCAACUAUUUUGCGUACUCCACUUUUGCAUAUACAUUAUUUUUAGUAUAUAUCUGCGUUCAUGCUUCCCCCGAUGUUUAAAAUUUAGAGUUCCUAUGAAAGAUCCUCGGAAGAUAAUAUAAAUAAUGUUUCAUAGUAUUAAAAAGUACAAACAAUACAACUUAUUAACAAAUAAUAUACACAUGGUAAUGCAAAUAUAACAUAUAUAUAUAUAUAUAUAUAUAUAUAUAUAUAUAUCUGUAUUGCUAUAGUCGAGUGGUACACUGGAUUUCAGAAUGUUACAAUAUUUCUUGAAUUUCAAGCCUUUUUAAAACAAAGUCCUAGUUAUAUAAAAAUUUGAUUUUGGAUUUCAGUCCAAGAUAAUUAACAUGACAGUCUGAUAAAGUUGCCCAAAAAAAGACAGUCUGAUAACAUACGAUUUGACUAUCUCUAACACUAAUCCGAAAACAUUCUAAACUCUUAUCAACUAACGUGUUGACCUUUAAAAAUAUUCACACUAACACUACUAAAUUUCUAUUGAACCUAACAAGAUCAGCCUAUAAAAUAUAAGAAAAUAAAUAAUUUAAACAUAGUUAAACAA